GAAGCUAUAGCUAUACUAUGACGUAUAGCGGCGGACGGGUGAGUAACACGUGGGCAACCUGCCUAGUAAGACUGGGAUAACUUCGGGAAACCGAAGCUAAUACCGGAUAGGAUCUUCUCCUUCAUGGGAGAUGAUUGAAAGAUGGUUUCGGCUAUCACUUACAGAUGGGCCCGCGGUGCAUUAGCUAGUUGGUGAGGUAACGGCUCACCAAGGCAACGAUGCAUAGCCGACCUGAGAGGGUGAUCGGCCACACUGGGACUGAGACACGGCCCAACUCCUACGGGAGGCAGCAGUAGGGAAUCUUCCGCAAUGGACGAAAGUCUGACGGAGCAACGCCGCGUGAGUGAUGAAGGCUUUCGGGUCGUAAAACUCUGUUGUUAGGGAAGAACAAGUACGAGAGUAACUGCUCGUACCUUGACGGUACCUAACCAGAAAGCCACGGCUAACUACGUGCCAGCAGCCGCGGUAAUACGUAGGUGGCAAGCGUUAUCCGGAAUUAUUGGGCGUAAAGCGCGCGCAGGCGGUUUCUUAAGUCUGAUGUGAAAGCCCACGGCUCAACCGUGGAGGGUCAUUGGAAACUGGGGAACUUGAGUGCAGAAGAGAAAAGCGGAAUUCCACGUGUAGCGGUGAAAUGCGUAGAGAUGUGGAGGAACACCAGUGGCGAAGGCGGCUUAUAUGGUCUGUAACUGACGCUGAGGCGCGAAAGCGUGGGGAGCAAACAGGAUUAGAUACCCUGGUAGUCCACGCCGUAAACGAUGAGUGCUAAGUGUUAGAGGGUUACCGCCCUAUUAGUGCUGCAGCUAACGCAUUAAGCACUCCGCCUGGGGAGUACGGUCGCAGACUGAAACU
rnacentral:rRNA from 2 species